UUAGAAGUAUUAUAUUUUUAUUAAUAUAGAAUUUAAAUCUAAGUUUUGAAAGUUUUAACCCUAAAUUUUUAGAAACUUGCAUUGUUCUGUCUGAGAGUGAGGUAUCUUUAAGUGAUAUUGAUUUUAAAUUAGUUGAAAAUAAUUCUGAAUCUAAAUUUGAAUGCAUAGAUACUACUGAUAUGGUUUCUUCAUAUCAGGAGAAUGAUUUUUGUGGUAAACAACCUUUUGAGGCUUGCGAAAAUAUUAAAAUGG